rnacentral:lncRNA from 1 species
CCCACGACGCGCAGCCAUGGGGCUUGAGUUUAGGUUUUCUGUGCUUCACUCGCUUUGCUGAGCUCAUGGUUCACAAACCCGGCGAGGGCUUCUUGUCCAGCGCCGCCGCCGCCUCCCUCACCCCGCUCGUGAUUACUUUUUACUCUACCUAUAUAUAUGCAUGUCCAGAAAUUUAUCUCAUACUUUUUUAAUUAAUUUCCACGUUUUAGCGGUGGGCUGUGAACAAGCUGGUGGAAAGCUAUCUUAAAUGGCGACUUCCCAUCAAAAAAUACGAUAUGGUUCCGACGGAAAGCUUCGUCGGAGAAGCCUCCUCUUGCCAGAUACUGUUCCUGCAGCCUAACUUCUUCGACAAAGUCGAAGAUGGGAGCAUUGUGAUGAGGAAAUCGCAGAAUUUCACCUUCUGCAAAGAGGGUGUAAUCCUCGACGGAGAAGAUCAUGUCCCGUUGCAAGCCGACGUCGUCAUCUUUGCAACGGGAUAUAAAGGCGAUGAGAAGCUCAAGAACAUGUUCGCUUCCCCCACCUUUCAAAACUACAUUUUUGGAUCUCCAACCUCCAUUAUCCCUCUCUACAGGUAAUAAAUUACUUCUCUACUUUAAUGUUGCAAGUAAUAUAUAAUUCUUCAAAUAAUUAAAUAUUGUUUUUAAUUGCAGACAGAUGAUCCAUCCAAGAAUCCCACAGCUGGCUGUGAUAGGCUACUCGGAGUCGCUGUCGAAUAUUUUCACAUUCGAAAUGAGGUGCAAAUGGCUGUCGCAUUUUCUGGAUGGGGGAUUCACGCUGCCGAGCAUGGGAGCGAUGGAGAAGGAGGUGGAGGCGUGGGAGAAAUACAUGAAGAGGUAUGCAGGUAACAAGGAGUUUAGAAGGUCUUGCAUUGGUGGUGUUCCUAUUUGGUACAAUGAUCAAAUAUGCAGAGACAUCGGUUCUUCUCCAAGAAGAAAGAAGGGCUUUUUCUCAGAGUUGUUUCAGCCUUAUGGCCCCAUAGAUUAUCACGGGAUUUAAUUUCUUUCACUUUUUCCAUAUUGUUAUGUUUAACUACUGCUUCCAAUGUCAUGUGCGCACGUGGUUUCAUCGACAUCAUAUAUCAAGUGAUUAAAUUCAACUUUGGUCGACAUCAAAAAAAAAAAAUUCAACUUUGGUCAUUAUUACUUUUAAUCUGUGAGUCAUUACUUCAGACUGUACUAAUUAAUUAUUACUAUUAAAAAUAUCAUUCAAUGCACGCCGAAUCUAUAUUAAUGCUUUCUUGGAACCGUGUGUAAAUUCAAGGGUGGAAGAGAAAAAAAUAGUUUGGUAAUUGGUAUCCCUAGUUUUAAUCCGUGAAAUAUUUAUUAUUUUUGCAUAAAAAAGAAUAAGUUCUACGCAUAAUUAAUGAGCAUGUUGCUUAUUUGAUUCUUAUAAUUCUAAUUUAAAAAAAAAAAAAGAUCCGAUUUCCUCUAUUACAACCAAUUUAUUUGAAUUAAGAAAUCAACUCAACGACGGGAUCAUCCAAGGGGGAAAAAAAAAACUUCAAAAUUAACAAGUAAAUAAAAAAUUUAAAGAUCGUGUUAUGAUGAACUCUAACAUAGAACCUCUAGAUUUGAGUAUUAAUUACUCCAUCCGUCCUCAUAAAAUGUAUUCAAUUUGUCAUAUUCGUCCGUUCUCAUAAAAUGUAUCAAAUAUAUUUUUGGUAAGUUUUUCACUCAUAAUAAAGUCGGACCAUUACUCCACACACAACACAUUCAACUAUUUUAUUAAAACUCGUGUUAUUUAUAAAUAAUUAUUUUUUAUAAGAAGGGAGAGAGUACUAUCAAUCUUCUACUAACUUUUUCGUUUAUGGAGUUGUUAAUUGUAUAAGUUGGUAACACUAACGACAACAUGUGUUAUUACCAUUAUCGUCGGUAAAGAACUUGAUAUACAUUCCAUUAAUUAACUAACUUAUCACCGCCGCUAUUUGAAUUCUGUAUUCCUACUAAAAUUUAUUAUUUCUCAUAACAAAUUAAUAAGAGCAACUUUACAAUUAAGCGCAAUUCAAUUGAUAAGACGAUUUCCUCUAAUUAGUAGGUUAGAAAUUCGAAUCACCAGAAGAAAAGAUGGGAAACCAUUAUCGACCCUCUCUAAAAAAAUAAAAAUAAGAGCAACUAAACUCAAAAUAAAUAAAUAAAUAGGACCAGUUAAUUAAUUGUAUACAUAUUUAAAUAUAAUAGGGUUAACAACAUGUAUAAAUAUAUAGGUGUUAAUAGAUAUAGAGUGGAUGCAAAUUUUAAUUUUUAACUAGCAUUAUUUUUAGAAUUUGACCCAAAUAUAUAUUCCAUCAAUAAUUAAUCUCACGUGUAUGCUAGAAAUUUAUUACGUGGCAUUUCAACCAAUAAUUAAAAUGUUAUAUUUUUUAUGUAAUAUAAAACGAUGUUAUUUUCUUCAUCUUUUAUGAUAUGCUGCAAACAAUAUAGAGUUCAAAGAGCAUGAUAGAGGAACAAAACGACGUUUUUAUGUUGCAUGAAACGUUGCAUUUUAAUUAUCUGAAAUGCCAUGUACGAAAUUUUCAACAUCCACAUAGGAUUAAUUAUUGCUGAAAUUUUAAUUCAGGCAAAAUUGUAAAAUAUUUAAAAGUUCAUGCAUUUUUUUUUUUUUUGAUAAGGAAAGUAAAUAUUAUAGAACGAUAAGGCACCAGUAGUACCAAGAAGAUUACAAAAUCAUCGGGGAUUCAUCAUUCGACAUCCACCUAUGAAACCCAACUCCAUCAUUAACAAAACCAAAAAUUCUACCCCAACUCCACACUCUAGCUUUGAUUUCCCCAAACAAGUUUGCACUCUCCCAUCUUUUGUUCUCAAAUCUACUCUCAUUCCGCAUUUUCCAAAUAAGCCAAGUAGUACAACACCAAAGAGCCAUCAAGAGCUUCUUAUUUCUUUUCCGGCCACUCAAACUAGUAAAGAACUGGAAGUGCGAGUGCACGUCAUAUGGCUGCGCCAUGCUAACACCGAGCCAUUGAAAGAUUGCUUCCCAUACCUUUGAGGUCUUUGGACAGUGGAUCAACACGUGGUUCGUGGAUUCCUGCCGAUGAAAACAGGCGUUACAUCCCACUUCAUGUAUUAAUCUAAUACAAUAAUACAAAUUAUAUGCAUUUAAUUACACUUCAUGCAUUUAAUUACAUGCAAUUAAUCUAAUACAAUAAUACAAAUUAUAUAUCAAAUUAAUAUUUAACUCACAAGUACAGUAAUGACUUUUAUGAGCAUGUUUAUGAAAUAACGAUAAAAUAAAUAGUGUUCAAUAUUCAAACUUAGACUUGCGCGUUUACAUAAACAAAUGGGCCCAAACUUAUUCCGAGUCUCUGAAUUCUAUAUCUCAUAAUCUUGGUUUCUCAACUAUAUCACAUUAUUAAUAAAUUUAGGGUAAAUACCAUACUCCCUCCGUCCCAAAAGCUUGGGCUGAUUGGGAUUUUCACAAAGAUUAAGAAAAAUCAUUGGAAAUAAAAAUAUAUAAGUAAAUUUUCUAGUAUGCCCAUAUUUAUUAUUUAAUGGUGUAUUAAAGUGGGAGUAAAUUAAAGAAUUAAAUAGGGAUGUAAUAGUAAAUGAGUAAAAAAAUAUUACUACUUUUCAUGGAAACAAGCCUAUAUAAAUGGGACAUUCGAAAAAGGAAAACAAGCCUAAGCUUAUGGGACGGAGGGAGUAUUAAAUUUCAAACUAUACCCGUUUUAUAAAAAAUAUUCUAAAUUAUAAAAAAAUGUUUUUAGAAAUUUCAAAAUAUUAGAUUUGUAUCAAAAAUAUCCUACAUUUAUUUUUCGAUCACCGGAAUGUGGCUCGCCGAAUGUCACUGUAAUUUAUAUUUUAUUGUUUGGCACAAAACGAAAACGACGUCGUUUUGUGUUACGUUAGUUGAUUCAAAUCGCGUUGAAAGUCAGUUUGGCGAGCGUGGAUUUAAGUUUUUUCAAAUGACAUGACAAAAAACGCCAUUUUGUGUCAUGUCAUUUACAAAAAAUAAAAUACUAGUAUAAAUUAUAUACGCUAGCAUCCGGUGAGCCACGUCACGAUUUCGGUCGAAAAAUGAACGUAAAAUAUUUUUGAUGCACACAUAAUAGUUUGUGAUUUUUUAAAAUAUUUCUUAUAAUUCAUGACAUUUUUUAUACAGUGAGUAUAAUUUGAAGUUUCAUAUGAUAUUUACCGAUAAAUUUAUUAGGUACGCAUAUGUAAGAAAGAAAAAUGCGUUAUAUAUAUCGAUGUGAAAUUAACCGAAUCUUUUAAUAUCUUCUUCAAGCUGUUGAGCCUAUAAUUUUCUACAAAUAGUAAUUUCGACGUCGACAUUCCUUCUCAAUAUAAAUCUAAAGAAGAAGCUCCAACUUGUCCAUAAAGAAUUGAAGAUGGAGAAACGAGUAGCCAUCGUGGGCGCGGGAGUCAGCGGCCUCCUCGCCUGCAAAUACGCGUCUGCGAAAGGCUUCACUCCGAUGGUUUUCGAAGAGCAAGAUGAGGUGGGCGGGCUGUGGAAUCACACCUUGGAAUCCACCACUCUUCAAAUUACUAAACAUUUAUACGAGUUUUCAGACUUCCCAUGGCCUUCUUCAGUCCCCGAAGAAACGCCUCCCCACAACACGCAACUUGUGGAAUAUCUGCAAACUUACGCCCACAAAUUCCAGCUGUUGCAGUACGUAAUUUCAAAUGCAAAGUAAUCGAUGUUGAUUACGUUGGAGAGUCUGAAAAUGAGAUGAGGAGUUGGGAUUUGUGGGGUGGAGAUGGUAAAGCCUUCGGAUCCAAAGGAAAAUGGAUUCUAAGAGUUUCCCACGCUGGAGAUGACUCCAUCAAGGUAUAAAUUAACACAUUCUUUUUCUUUUUUUUUUAAUCUGAUAAACAUAUGAAUGCAGGAGUAUGAAGCCGAAUUCUUGGUUCUCUGCAUCGGGAGAUUCAGCGGUCUGCCGAAUUUCCCGAGUUUGCUCCGGGAUACGGAGCCGAAGCUUUUUCCGGCAAAGUUAUGCAUUCAAUGGAUUUCUCCAACAUGGAUAAUGCGCUGCUGCUCAAUUCAUCAAAGGAAAACGCGUCGCCGUUAUAGGUGCUGGCAAGUCCGCAAUCGACAUUGCAUUCGAGUGCGCCAAUGUAAAUGGUAAUUAACCUUUUUCACUUGAUUGGUUUUUAGACGCACGUGGUGUUGGAUUCUGUCAAAUUUAAUUGAUUGGGUUGAUUUGAUUUGCAGGAAGAGAUAAGCCGUGCACAAUGAUCCAGAGAGGUGCGCAUUGGAUGCUGCCCCACCACGCGCAUUCAUGGGGAUUGACAGAUUUUCUCAUCUUCACUCGCUUUGUCGAGCUCAUGCUUCAUAAGCCCGGCGAGGGCUUCUUGUCCGGCGCCAUAGCCACCUUGCUCACGCCUGUGGUAAUUACUUAUACUUUUUACUAAUUUUUGCAUGCAGAAAUUUAUUUGUGAUUUUUUUUUCAUGUUUUAGCGAUGGGGUCUAAACAGGCUCGUGGAAAGCUUUAUUAAAUGGCAAAUGCCCCUGAAAAAAAUGAUAUGAUUCCCAAGCAAAGCUUCGUUAGAGAAGUAUCAUCUUGCCAGAUAAUCCUACUGCAGCCUCACUUCUUCGACAAAGUCGAAGAUGGGAGCAUUGUGAUGAGGAAAUCGCAGAAUUUCACCUUCUGCAAAGAGGGUCUAAUCCUCGAUGGAGAAGGUGUCCCGUUGCAAGUAGACAUUGUCAUCUUUGCAACGGGAUAUAAAGGCGACGAGAAGCUCAAGAGCAUGUUUGCUUCUCCCACUUUUCAAAACUAUAUUGAAGGAUCUCCAACCUCUACUAUCCCUCUAUACAGGUGGUUUUAAUUACUAUGCAAUCUAACAUAAAUUCAUUUUCUAUUGAAAUAUUUACCAAAAAAAAAAAAAUUAGCAGACAGAUAAUCCAUCCAAGAAUCCCACAGCUGGCUGUGAUAGGCUACUCGGAGUCGCUAUCGAAUAUUUUCUCAUUUGAAAUGAGGUGCAAAUGGCUGUCGCAUUUUCUGGAUGGGGCAUUCGCGUUGCCGAGCAUGGGAGCAAUGGAGAAGGAGAUCGAGGCGUGGGAGAAAUACAUGAAGAGGUAUGCAGGUAACAAGGAGUUUAGAAGGUCUUGCAUUGGUGGUGUUCCUAUUUGGUACAAUGAUCAAAUAUGCAAAGACAUUGGUUCUUCUCCAAGAAGAAAGAAGGGCUUUUUCUCAGAGUUGUUUGAGCCUUAUUAUGCCACAGACUACCGCAGGCUAUAAAGCAUAUGUCUAUGUUGGACUGUUAUUGACACUUGUGUUGAUAUUGGUUGGUAUAAUAGUAUUAUAGUAUAUGUACGACGCAUAAUUGCAUGAAUGUUAUUGAAAUAAGAGUAUAAAAUACACAUCUUUAUUGCAUAAUAAUUCGACCGUCUGUUUCUUUCAUGUGUUAGUGUUAUUGUCUUACUCAAGAGUCAAAAGGUUGGCAGAUAGAGCGGGCUACGAGUAGCUAAUUCAGGAAGUAAUCCAUUAUAUAUUUAUAGCAAUUAUUAUUGCUAUAAUAAUUAAUAACUGUAUCAUUUUUUCUGUUCCUAGAAAUUUCUAGAUUUUAUACUUUAGUUAAUUUAUCGAGGGUCAAUUGUUUUUUUUUCUUUUUUUCAUAUAUAUAAAUAAAAUUAAAGGCUACGUGAAACGUGAUGGUGGAAUCAAACUUAAGACGUUUGGUAUUGAACUUUUACAUGCACACCACGAAAGCCAACUACUAAUUAUUGUGGAGUUGUACUGUUCGAACAAUAAAUAAUAAUUUUUUACUUUAAUAUAUAACAUAUAGUAUACAGAAUGGUACCUUGUAAUAAAAUAUGGAAUAUAUUGAAAAAAUAUAUUUCUUCAGAAAUAAAAUAAAAUCAUGUGAGUUGUAUAUAAAAUCAGAUAGUUUCAUUGAGUUAAAUAAUACACCAUCCCUUUGCAAAAAUAAUGUUUUGCUAUUUUAAGCGUCCGUGAAAAGUAUGUCACCUCAUAUUUUUUUUCCUUAUUAUUUAUCCUUAUAAUUAUCUUUUAUUUACAAAAAUUCAAACAUUUAUUCAAUCUCAACCACUCAUUUCAUAUAAUGGUUGUACUAUAUAAAAAUUAGGGUAAAUUGCAUGAAAAUACUCGACCUUAUACCGAAAUUUGGUUUUUUGACGGGUAACAACAUUUAUCAACAUGUCUUCGUGGAAUUUUCUCUAAUUUUAAGUGUUUUGUUAUUCAAAUUAUCUGGGUAUGGUAUGAGUAACAUACAUUCUUGACGGGUACGAAUAUUUUAUCAACAUGUUUACCUAAAUUGUUUUUUUCUAAUUUAUAAUCUCUUAAUUUUGUAUAUGUAUGUUUAUUCUUCGAUAUUCGAGUCUUUAUUGAGACGGAUAACUAAUUAUUGUGAUAAAUUAUAUUUAUAAAUGUAAAUGUAUGGAUAUUUAACACAUAUUACUAUACAUUUUUGUGAUGAGAACAAAUAGUAAAAUCGUUAUUUACAUAGUAAAUUUAUUACUUUGAUAUAAAUAUUAUUUUAUUUAUUAUAAUUAUAAAUAUAAUUAAAAUAAUUACCCGUCGAAUUUUGACGGGUUACACACUAGUUAUACUACAUACAUUUUGUUGAUACGUGUAUAUUAAUUGACGAUUGACAUCACUCGAGUAAUCUUUAAUUCUACGUUGGUUUUAGAUUUUAAUUAGAGUUGGUUGAUAUUGCAGGAAGAGAUAAUCCGUGCACAAUGAUCCAUAGAAGAAUCCAUUGGAUGCUGCCCCACGACGCGCAGCCAUGGGGCUUGAGUUUAGGUUUUCUGUGCUUCACUCGCUUUGCUGAGCUCAUGGUUCACAAACCCGGCGAGGGCUUCUUGUCCAGCGCCGCCGCCGCCUCCCUCACCCCGCUCGUAAUUACUUUUUACUCUACCUAUAUAUAUGCAUGUCCAGAAAUUUAUCUCACACUUUUUUAAUUAAUUUCCACGUUUUAGCGGUGGGUUGUGAACAAGCUGGUGGAAAGCUAUCUUAAAUGGCGACUUCCCAUCACAAAAUACGAUAUGGUUCCGACGGAAAGCUUCGUCGGAGAAGCCUCCUCUUGCCAGAUACUUUUCCUGCAGCCUAACUUCUACGACAGAGUUGAAGAUGGGAGCAUUGUGAUGAGGAAAUCGCAGAAUUUCACCUUCUGCAAAGAGGGUCUAAUCCUCGACGGAGAAGAUCACGUCCCGUUGCAAGCCGACGUCGUCAUCUUUGCAACGGGAUAUAAAGGCGAUGAGAAGCUCAAGAACAUGUUCGCUUCCCCCACCUUUCAAAACUACGUUUUUGGAUCUCCAACCUCCAUUAUCCCUCUCUACAGGUAUAAAUUACUUCUCUACUUCAAUGUUGUAAGUAAUAAUAUAUUCUUCAAAUAAUUAAAUAUUGUUUUUAAUUGCAGACAGAUGAUUCAUCCAAGAAUCCCACAGCUGGCUGUGAUAGGCUACUCGGAGUCGCUGUCGAAUAUUUUCACAUUCGAAAUGAGGUGCAAAUGGCUGUCGCAUUUUCUGGAUGGGGGAUUCACGCUGCCGAGCAUGGGAGCGAUGGAGAAGGAGGUGGAGGCGUGGGAGAAAUACAUGAAGAGGUAUGCAGGUAACAAGGAGUUUAGAAGGUCUUGCAUUGGUGGUGUUCCUAUUUUUUUUUUUUUUUUUGAUGAAAUUAAAUUAUAAAUAAUACAAACCACACACACCCCACCUAGUGGUUAUUGUGGCCGAGAGUAUUCAAACCUGUGACCUCUUGGACAACAGGCAACCACCCCAACCACUAGGCCAUCCCAAGGGGACAGUGGUGUUCCUAUUUGGUACAAUGAUCAAAUAUGCAGAGACAUCGGUUCUUCUCCAAGAAGAAAGAAGGGCUUUUUCUCAGAGUUGUUUCAGCCUUAUGGCCCCAUAGACUAUCACGGGAUUUAAUUUCUUUCACUUUUUCUGUAUUGUUAUGUUUAACUACUGCUUCCAAUGUCAUGUGCGCACGUGGUUUCAUCGACAUCACAUAUAUCAAGUGAUUAAAUUCAACUUUGGUCGACAUCACAAACAAAAAAAGGACCUUGCUAUUUGGAUCAAUUUGAUCCGGAUCAAAUCGAAAAAAUAAUUAAUGUUCAACAUAAAAAGACAUAUUUACCUUUUAUGUAUUUUUCAUUUUAAUAUUAAUGAAAUAUGUAUAUAUAUUAUUGGGAACAUUAUUUUCAAUAAAUACUUUUGUGUUUUCAAUGAGAAGUUUGACUAAUUUAUAAUAUAUUUUGUAAACCAACAUGAAUGUAUUUAAUUACUCAAUCAUGCAUUUGUAAAUAUCAUGCUUUGAUAUUUACGUUUUUUAUUUUUUUUUGUUAAAAUGUUUUACUUUUAUUUUCCUGAAGUGUUUCUUUACUUUUAUUUUUGUUAUGUAUGCUUUUCUUUUUUGUAAACACACCCUUUAUUUAAAUAAAAAAAUACUAUUACAAAAACAAAAAUAUGAAACAAAUUAAACAUAAAAACAUAGAUAUCAAAGUAAAAUUAAUAUAUUUUGUAAACCAACAUGAAUGUAUUUAAUUACUCAAUCAUGAAUUUGUAAAUAUCAUGCUUUGAUAUUUACGUUUUUUAUUUUUUUUGUUAAAAUGUUUUACUUUUAUUUUCCUGAAGUGUUUCUUCACAUUUAUUUUUGUUAUGUAUGCUUUUCUUUUUUGUAAACACACCCUUUAUUUAAAUAAAAAAUAUUACAAAAACAAAAAUAUGAAACAAAUUAAACAUAAAAACAUAGAUAUCAAAGUAAGUAUACUAAAGUUGUAUUAAUACGUAUGUACUAUUCCAUGUCCAAAAAAAAUAAAAAAUACUCCCUCCGUCCCAUUGGGCUUGUCCCAUUUGGUUUCGGCACGGUUAUUAAGGAGAGUAUUAGCAGUGUUAAGUGUGUAGAUAAAGUAGGAGAGAGAAAGAGAGAGAAGGUGAUAAAGUAGGAGAGAUAAAGUGAUAAAGUAAGAGUGUUAUUUAUAGAAAUGAGACAAGAUGGUGGGACAAACAAAAAAGGAAUACGGGACAAGAUCAAUGGGACGGAGGGAGUACGUCUCUAUUAAUAGUGUUCUCUAGUUUUUUUGAUAGAAUUAUAUUCCCCUAGUUAAAACUUAAAAUCUUCAUAAAAAUAUAUUGUGUACUUUUCAUUCUUUUUCGGUGGAUAUCUUAAUGCAUUAUGAAAGUUAUUACUUAAUAUAUACGAAAAAAUGGCUUAACUACAGUGAUUGUAUUAGUUUUGUAGCUUUUAGUAUGGUAACUUGACGAAAAUAAACUAUACUUUAUUAAAUAUAAUUAAUUCAUAAUUUUUAAUAUUCAUUAACUAUAAACAAAUAGUUCAAUAUUUUAUCAAGGGUAGAGGGUUUACAAUUUCGUACAUCGUCCUUGCAUAUAUACAUUUUUUUUAAAUUUCAGAAACACAUGCACACAUGAGUCAAUCCAUUGACUUUAAGAUUGUUUGAGAAGCGUUUUAUAUUUAACAAUAAAUAUUAUGUAAAAAGUAUUUUUUAUAUUUAAAUUAUGAAAAUAAUAUUAUAUGAAUGUUAAAAUUUUAUGUUAUACAAGAAACGGGUAGGAGCAAUUAUUGCUCGUGAUACCAAAAUAAAAAUGAUAGCAGAUGUUGUUAGAAUAGGAUGUGUAAAUGUUUGAAAUGAUGUCUAUUAUUGAAACUUUAGAUGCAUUAAGCAAUGCCAAUGUACACUAAAGGAGAUCGAUAGAUGCAUAACAAUCACCAUUUGUUAAAUCUCUAAUACAUAUACUUACUAAAUAUUUUAUUUACAUUUACUGAACAUGUGUGAUCAUUUAAUACAAAAAUAUGUUAUUAUUUCUUUUAAAGUCUAUUUUAAUAAUAUAUAUUACCAAUAUAAAUUUUCAUAAUGUUAUAAACUUUGGUUGGACAGUUUAUUUACAUUUAUCCGUAAGAUUAACAAAUAAAAAAUAUUAAAAAGACAAAAAAUUAACUAAUAAUUUAAUUUACGCAAUAUGAAUUUUUUUCAUAAUAUUAUAAACUUAGGCAAUAUGUUACUAUUUAUGUAAUUGGUUGAGCUUUCAUAUAUAUAUGAUAUGAUUUAUUUACAAAUAUAUAUAUAUAUAUAUAUAUGUAUGUAUGUAUGUAUGUAUGUACAUAGGGCGGGCUAAAAUAAGUACACUUCUUAAAAUAUAAAAUAAGAAUCAUUUUCAGCCCUUAGAUCAUCAAGAUCUACGAUUGAUUCAACAUCCUGUUGGAUGAAUUCAUGGUCCUGAGUUCGAAUCCCAAAAGUAGCAAAAAUUUAUUUUUCGCAAUUCAUACCUUUAUACAGCGAAUUGAUAUGUGUUCUACAUAAAAUUCAUACAUUAUUUGUAGUUGUUAUUUUUUAUUUUAAGAUGUGCUCUCACGAUAGCCCUCCUAUAUAUAUAUAUAUAUGUGUGUGUGUGUGUAUAUAUAUAUAUUUAUAUGUAUAUGUAUAUCACAUAACUUAAAAAAUUAAGAAUAUUUGUACAAGUAAUUAUUUUAGUUAUAAGUAAAAAAAUUAGUGUGAGAUUGAGCCUAUUGUAAUCUCCAAUGAAAUCAUGAAUAAAUUACGAAGAAUUUGAGUUUACUAAUUUUAAUGUGUGUGAGAUUGAGCCUAUCGUAGAUCUUGAUGAUCUAACGAGUGAAAAUAGUUUAUAUUUUAUAUUCUAANNNNNNNNNNNNNNNNNNNNNNNNNNNNNNNNNNNNNNNNNNNNNNNNNNNNNNNNNNNNNNNNNNNNNNNNNNNNNNNNNNNNNNNNNNNNNNNNNNNNNNNNNNNNNNNNNNNNNNNNNNNNNNNNNNNNNNNNNNNNNNNNNNNNNNNNNNNNNNNNNNNNNNNNNNNNNNNNNNNNNNNNNNNNNNNNNNNNNNNNNNNNNNNNNNNNNNNNNNNNNNNNNNNNNNNNNNNNNNNNNNNNNNNNNNNNNNNNNNNNNNNNNNNNNNNNNNNNNNNNNNNNNNNNNNNNNNNNNNNNNNNNNNNNNNNNNNNNNNNNNNNNNNNNNNNNNNNNNNNNNNNNNNNNNNNNNNNNNNNNNNNNNNNNNNNNNNNNNNNNNNNNNNNNNNNNNNNNNNNNNNNNNNNNNNNNNNNNNNNNNNNNNNNNNNNNNNNNNNNNNNNNNNNNNNNNNNNNNNNNNNNNNNNNNNNNNNNNNNNNNNNNNNNNNNNNNNNNNNNNNNNNNNNNNNNNNNNNNNNNNNNNNNNNNNNNNNNNNNNNNNNNNNNNNNNNNNNNNNNNNNNNNNNNNNNNNNNNNNNNNNNNNNNNNNNNNNNNNNNNNNNNNNNNNNNNNNNNNNNNNNNNNNNNNNNNNNNNNNNNNNNNNNNNNNNNNNNNNNNNNNNNNNNNNNNNNNNNNNNNNNNNNNNNNNNNNNNNNNNNNNNNNNNNNNNNNNNNNNNNNNNNNNNNNNNNNNNNNNNNNNNNNNNNNNNNNNNNNNNNNNNNACAUAUACUUACUAAAUAGUUUAUAUUUUAUAUUCUAAAACAUUGUAAAGUUUUUAUCUCCUAAAUUAUGAAUUAAUUAUAAUAUAUACAUAAAAUAUUUUAUAUAUACCCUUCAAAAAGUACGAAGUAAUUAUUUUUAGUAUGACAAAAAAAUUGUGUGAGAUUGAGCCUAUUGUAAUCUCCAAUGAAAUCAUGAAUAAAUUACGAAGAAUUUGAGAUUGAGCCUAUCGUAGAUCUUGAUGAUCUAACGGGUGAAAAUAGUUUAUAUUUUAUAUUCUAAAAAAAUUACAUUAAAAUUAGUAAACUCAAAUUCUUCGUAAUUUAUUCAUGAUUUUAUUGGAUAUUACAAUAGGCUCAAUCUCACACAAUUUUUUUUCAUACUAAAAAUAAUUACUUGUACAAAAUAUUCUAAUUUUAUUAAGUAUGUGAUAUACAUAUACAUAUAUACAAUCCUAAAUUAGAAUAUAUAUUAUAUUACAUUUUAUGACUUUUUAUAUUUUGGGUUGUGUUUCGAAUAAUUAGGAUCUCAUGGAAAAUACUAAAAUCAAGAUGAUGUUGAAAAAUACACAAUACUUGAUAAAUAAUAAUAAUAAUAAUAAUAAUAAUAAUAAUAAUAAUAAUAAUAAUAAUAAUAAUAAUAAUAAUAAUAAUAAUAAUAAGAGUAAUAUAAUAAAAAAUGUUACAAACUUUUUUUAAUCUUGAAUAAAUAAUGAUACAAACUUGAAUAAAUAAUAAUAAUAAAAAUGUUACAAUACUCAUUAAUGAUUUAUGUAAAGAAAUUUAAUUUAGAUAUAUUAUCCAACAUAAUAAUAAUAAUAAUAAUAAUAAUAAUAAUAAUAAUAAUAAUAAUAAUAUAAUAAUUUAAAUUUUUAAAUUGAAACACUUUUUAUAGUGAUUGGGGGUGUUUAAAUAAAAAAAUGUUACAAAAACAAAAAAGUCAGAUAAAACAUAAAAACAUAUUAAAAAACAAGUUCUUUAUAUAUUCCAAACUAAUUAUUUUCUUAAAUAAACAAAAAUCCUACGAAUUAUGAAAUGUUUAAUUUUUUUAUAAAAAAAAAUUAUGAAAUCCUACGAAUUACAAAAUCCUACGAAUUACAAAAAUCCUACGAAUUAUGAAAUGUUUAAUUUUAUGUAUCCUAUAUAUGUUCAAUGUAUUGAUUUAAGUGCAUAUGUUCAUGAACUUAAUUUAUGGCCUAGAAAAUUGAAAAGACAUUCAAUUUAUAUUCACAAUAUAUUAAAUUUAGUAUUUUAAAAUAAUAAACUUUUAUAAGGGGCAUUUAAGGUAAAACACAUUUUCAGUAAUUUUUUUUGGACUUUUAUACCCCUACUGAUCCGGAUCAAAUUGAUCCGUAUAGAUUUAUCCAAAAAAAAUUCAACUUUGGUCAUUACUUUUAAUUUGUGAGUACUUCGGACUGUACUAAUUAGUUAUUACUAUUAAAAAUAUCAUUCAAUGCACGCCGAAUCUAUAUUAAUGCUUCUUGGAACCGUGUGUAAAUUCAAGGGUGGUGGACGAGAAAAAAAUAGUUUGGUAAUUGGUAUCCCUAGUUUUGUUGAAAUAAAAUGCACCUCAGAUGGCAUUUUGAACAAUAAAUCUAUGCAGCCACAUUGUGGUCACCCACAAAUUAGUAUAAUAAGGAAAAUCUUAAUUUAUUUAAUUUAUUUUUUUAAAUAAAAAUAGGAUUUGGUUAUUUUAUUAUAUUCUCUACAUUGUACUUAUUUUUUUUUAAUUUUUUUUGCAAUUUUUAUUUUUAAUUUAUUUUUUAAUAAAAAUAAAAAUAUUAUUAAAAAAUUGCAAAAAAAAAUAAAUAACUACAAUGUAGAGAAUAUGAUAAAAUAACUAAAUUUUAUUUUAUUUUAAAAAAUAAAUUAAAUAAUUUAAAUUAUUUUCUAUUUAGAUAAAUUGUGGGUGGCCAUAACGUGGCUGUUUAGCAUUACUCCGUCUGUUACUAUUUUAAUCCGCGAAACAUUUAUUAUACUUCCACAAAGGCGUUUUACAUAUGUUAAUUACUCUUUUAAUCCGUGAAAUAUUUAUUAUUUUUGCAUAAAAAGAAUAAGUUCUACGGAUAAUUAAUGAGCAUGUUGCUUAUUUGAUUCUUACUCCCUCUGUUUUUUUUAAGUGUCCUAUUAAGAUAAAUUUAUUGUUCCUUUUUAAGUGUCCUAUUUCAAAUUUUGAGAAUAAAAAAUGACAAAGUUCCUACUUUACCCCUUUUUAAGUGUCCUAUUUCAAAAUUUGAGAAUAAAUUUAUUACACUUUGAAAAUAAUAAAUAUGGGCACAAAAGUAAUACUCCAACUUCCUUGAUAUAUGUACUUUUUUUCCAUGGGACACUUAAAAAAAACGGAGGGAGUAUAAUUCUAAUUCAAAAAAAAAAAAGAUCCGAUUUCCUCUAUUACAACCAAUUUAUGUGAAUUAAGAAGUCAACUAAACGACGGGAUCAUCAAAGGANAAAAAAAAAAACUUCAAAAUUAACAAGUAUAAAAUAAAUUUAAAGAUCAUGUUAUGAUGGACUCUAACCUAGAACCUCUAGAUUUGAGGAUUACUCACUCGGUCCUUAUAAAAUGUAUUCAAUUUAUCAUUUUCGUCUGUUAUCAUAAAAUGUAUCAAAUAUAUUUUUGGUAAAUUUUUCAUUCAUAAUAAAGUGGACUGUUACUCCACACACAACACAUUUAACUACUUUAUUAAAACUCGUGUUAUUUAUAAAUAAUUAUUUUUUAUAAAAACGGAGAGAGUACUAUGUAUCUUCUAACUUUUUCGUUUAUGGAGUUGUUAAUUGUUCAAGUUGGUAACACUAACGACAACAAGUGUUGGUACCAUUAUCGUCGGUUAAGAACUUGAUAUACAUUCCAUUAAUUAACUAACUUAUCACCGCCGCUAUUUGAAUUCUGUAUUCCUACUAAAAUUUAUUAUUUCUCAUAACAAAUUAAUAAGAGCAACUCUACAAUUAAGCGCAAUUGAAUUGAUAAGACGAUUUCCUCUAAUUAGUAGGUUAGAAAUUCGAAUCACUAGAAGAAAAGAUGGGAAACCAUUAUCGACCCUCUCUAAAAAAAUAAAAAUAAGAGCAACUAAACUCAAAAUAAAUAAAUAAAUAAAUAGGACCAGUUAAUUAAUUGUAUACAUCUUAAAUAUAAUAGGGUUAACAACAUGUAUAAAUAUAUAGGUGUUAAUAGAUAUAGAGUGGAGCAAAUUUUAAUUUUUAACUAGAUUAUUUUUAGAAUUUGACCCAAAUAUAUAUUCCAUCAAUAAUUAAUCUACGUGUGUGCUAGAAAUUUAUUACGUGGCAUUUCAACCAAUAAUUAAAAUGUUAUAUUUUUUAUGUAAUAUAAAACGAUGUUAUUUUCUUCAUCUUUUAUGAUAUAUAUGUUGCAAACAAUAUAGAGUUCAAAGAGCAUGACAGAGGAACAAAACGACGUUUUUAUGUUGCAUGAAACGUUGCAUUUUAAUUAUCUGAAAUGCCAUGUACGAAAUUUUCAACAUCCACAUAGAAUUAAUUAUUGCCGAAAUUUUAAUUCAGGCAAAAUUGUAAAAUAUUUAAAAGUUCAUGUAUUAAUAGUAGUAUUGGUUAAAAAUCACACUUCAUGCAUUUAAUUACAUGCAAUUAAUCUAAUACAAUAAUACAAAUUAUAUAUCAAAUUAAUAUUUAACUCACAAGUACAGUAAUGACUUAUGAGCAUGUUUAUGAAAUAACGAUAAAAUAAAUAGUGUUCAAUAUUCAAACUUAGACUUGCGCUUUUACAUAAACAAAUGGGCCCAAACUUAUUCCGAGUCUCUGAAUUCUAUAUCUCAUAAUCUUGGUUUCUCAACUAUAUCACAUUAGUAAUAAAUUUAGGGUAAAUACCAUAUUAAAUUUCAAAUUAUACCCGUUUUAUGAAAAAAUUUCUAAAUUAUAAAAAAUGUUUUUAGAAAUUUCAAAAUAUUAGAUUUGUAUAAAAAAUAUCCUACAUUUAUUUUUCGGUCGCCGGAAUGUGGCUCGCCGAAUGUCACUGUUAUUUAUAUUUUAUUGUUUGGCACACAACGACGUCGUUUUGUGUUACGUUAGUUGAUUCAAAUCGCGUUGAAAGUCAGUUUGGCGAGCGUGGAUUUAAGUUUUUUCAAAUGACAUGACAAAAAACGUCAUUUUGUGCCAUGUCAUUUACAAAAAAAAAAUACUAGUAUAAAUUAUAUACGCUAGCAUCCGGUGAGCCACGUCACGAUUUCGGUCGGAAAAUAAACGUAAGAUAUUUUUUAUACUAACAUAAUAGUUUGUGGUUUUUUAAAAUAUUUCUUAUAAUUCAUGACAUUUUUGAUAAGGUGAGUAAAUUACCGAUAAAUUUAUUGGGUGGGUACGCAUAUGUAAGAAUGAAAAAUGUGUUAUAUAUAGAUGUGAAAUUAACCGAAUCUUUUAAUAUCUUCUUCAUGCUGUUGAGCCUAUAUUUUUCUACAAAUAGUAAAUUCGACGUUGACAUUCCUUCUCAAUAUAAAUCUAAGGAAGAAGCUCCAACUUGUCCAUAAAGAAUUGAAGAUGGAGAAACGAGUAGCCAUCGUGGGCGCGGGAGUCAGCGGCCUCCUCGCCUGCAAAUACGCGUCUGCGAAAGGCUUCACUCCGAUGGUUUUCGAAGAGCAAGAUGAGGUGGGCGGGCUGUGGAAUCACACCUUGGAAUCCACCACUCUUCAAAUUACUAAACAUUUAUACGAGUUUUCAGACUUCCCAUGGCCUUCUUCAGUCCCCGAAGAAACGCCUCCCCACAACACGCAACUUGUGGAAUAUCUGCAAUCUUACGCCCACAAAUUCCAGCUGUUGCAGUACGUGAAUUUCAAAUGCAAAGUAAUCGAUGUUGAUUACGUUGGAGAGUCUGAAAAUGAGAUGAGGAGUUGGGAUUUGUGGGGUGGAGAUGGUAAAGCCUUCGGAUCCAAAGGAAAAUGGAUUCUAAGAGUUUCCCACGCUGGAGAUGACUCCAUCAAGGUAUAAAUUAACACAUUCUUUUUCUUUUUUUUUAAUCUGAUAAACAUAUGAAUGCAGGAGUAUGAAGCCGAAUUCUUGGUUCUCUGCAUCGGGAGAUUCAGCGGUCUGCCGAAUUUCCCAGAGUUUGCUCCGGGAUACGGAGCCGAAGCUUUUUCCGGCAAAGUUAUGCAUUCAAUGGAUUUCUCCAACAUGGAUAAUGUCGCUGCUGCUCAAUUCAUCAAAGGAAAACGCGUCGCCGUUAUAGGUGCUGGCAAGUCCGCAAUCGACAUUGCAUUCGAGUGCGCCAAUGUAAAUGGUAAUAACCUUUUUUCACUUGAUUGGUUUUUAGACGCACGUGGUGUUGGAUUCUGUCAAAUUUAAUUGAUUGGGUUGAUUUGAUUUGCAGGAAUAGAUAAGCCGUGCACAAUGAUCCAGAGAGGUGCGCAUUGGAUGCUGCCCCACCACGCGCAUUCAUGGGGAUUGACAGAUUUUCUCAUCUUCACUCGCUUUGUCGAGCUCAUGCUUCAUAAGCCCGGCGAGGGCUUCUUGUCCGGCGCGAUAGCCACCUUGCUCACGCCUGUGGUAAUUACUUAUACUUUUUACUAAUUUUUGCAUGCAGAAAUUUAUUUGUGAAUUUUUUUUUUCAUGUUUUAGCGAUGGGGUCUGAACAGGCUCGUGGAAAGCUUUAUUAAAUGGCAAAUGCCCCUGAAAAAAUAUGAUAUGAUUCCCAAGGAAAGCUUCGUUAGAGAAGUAUCAUCUUGCCAGAUAAUCCUACUGCAGCCUCACUUCUUCGACAAAGUCGAAGAUGGGAGCAUUGUGAUGAGGAAAUCGCAGAAUUUCACCUUCUGCAAAGAGGGUCUAAUCCUCGAUGGAGA